rnacentral:lncRNA from 1 species
AAAAAGUAUUGGACUAGUAGCUUACAAGUCUACAAACAUUUGACGAGGUAAGUUCGUGUAAUUAAAUUGUAUAUUUAAGUGUUUGAAUUGAAUGUUAUAUAUGUGAAAUGUAUAAAAUUUUCAUGUACAAGAAUGUAUCACAUAUCUGAUAAUAUCUGACAAGUGCUAAGUCCCGUUUGAACACUGGAAAUUCGAUGGAUACAGAUGACAUUGUCAUUAAGGGUUGCUGAUUGGUCAUGGCCCUGCAUGUGUUGCGGGCACACCACAGCUCGCAAGAGCGUCCCAUUAUUUAGCUCUUAUGAGCAUCCCGUUAUAUGGC